GACCUAUGAGUUCCUCCAGUCUCCUGAGCCAGGCUCCACAUCCAACAGCUGACCUAUGAGUUCCUCCAGUCCCCAGAGCCAGGCUCCACAUCCAACAGCUGACCUAUGAGUUCCUCCAGUCUCCAGAGCCAGGCUCCACAUCCAACAGCUGACCUAUGAGUUCCUCCAGUCUCCAGAGCCAGGCUCCACAUCCAACAGCUAACCCACACACUGGCAAGUUGGCUCUAACUAGGGUAGCUCUGGUCACAAUACCAGUAUCACUAUACUAUGAUACUCCACUUUCCAAGGCAAAAAGGAAACACGAAACUGUUUUAACUCUUUAAAAACCUGCUUUAUCUAAAAUAUUGUUUUCUGUAGCUUGAAAAACAAACAAAUGUGACUCUGGGUGACAACAUAAUGCUGCUUGUUUGUAUCCAACAUUAGGACUUCUGAGUAUAGCGAUUCUGCUAUUGAGACACUACUAGGGAGUUGGUAGACAAUGCCUCUAACUACUGGUCUGGGGUCAGACAUUGUUUGAUGGGUAAUCUGAUCCUAGAUCUGUGGCUUAGAGGAAACUUCUACUCAGAGCUGAUCUGACGUCCUGUUUUUAACCACACUGGUUGUUUUGUUGUCUGACUCUGCUCUCAACACCCUGGGGACAACGAGAGUGAACCUCAGACAUGUUGUGAAAGGUCAUCAUGAUUGUACAGAUUAUUUGUAUGUGCGCUAUACUUAAGAGAAUAAAGUCGCCACAGGUUGUGUUUUUACACAGUACUGUGUCAUCAGGUUGUGUUUUUACACAGUACUGUGUCAUCAGGUUGUGUUUUUACACAGUACUGUGUCAUCAGGUUGUGUUUUUACACAGUACUGUGUCAUCAGGUUGUGUUUUUACACAGUACCGUGUCAUCAGGUUGUGUUUUUACACAGUACUGUGUCAUCAGGUUGUGUUUUUACACAGUACUGUGUCAUCA
rnacentral:lncRNA from 1 species